rnacentral:rRNA from 1 species
GGAUUAGAUACCCUGGUAGUCCACGCCGUAAACGAUGUCUACUAGCCGUUGGGAUCCUUGAGAUCUUAGUGGCGCAGCUAACGCACUAAGUAGACCGCCUGGGGAGUACGGUCGCAAGAUUAAAACUCAAAUGAAUUGACGGGGGCCCGCACAAGCGGUGGAGCAUGUGGUUUAAUUCGAAGCAACGCGAAGAACCUUACCAGGUCUUGACAUCCUCGGAACUUUCUAGAGAUAGAUUGGUGCCUUCGGGAACCGAGUGACAGGUGCUGCAUGGCUGUCGUCAGCUCGUGCCG